AAACUGGUUGAUUCUGCCAGUAGUCAUAUGCUUGUCUCAGAGAUUAAGCCAGGCAUGUCUAAGUACAUACCUUAAAA
rfam:Trichobilharzia regenti genome assembly, scaffold: TRE_scaffold0017220